AUGAACGCUGGCGGCGUGCCUAAUACAUGCAAGUCGCGCGAACGGACGAGAAGCUUGCUUUUCUGAUGUUAGCGGCGGACGGGUGAGUAACACGUGGAUAACCUACCUAUAAGACUGGGAUAACUUCGGGAAACCGGAGCUAAUACCGGAUAAUAUUUUGAACCGCAUGGUUCAAAAGUGAAAGACGGUCUUGCUGUCACUUAUAGAUGGAUCCGCGCUGCAUUAGCUAGUUGGUAAGGUAACGGCUUACCAAGGCAACGAUGCAUAGCCGACCUGAGAGGGUGAUCGGCCACACUGGAACUGAGACACGGUCCAGACUCCUACGGGAGGCAGCAGUAGGGAAUCUUCCGCAAUGGGCGAAAGCCUGACGGAGCAACGCCGCGUAAGUGAUGAAGGUCUUCGGAUCGUAAAACUCUGCUAUUAGGGAAGAACAUAUGUGUAAGUAACUGUGCACAUCUUGACGGUACCUAAUCAGAAAGCCACGGCUAACUACGUG
rnacentral:rRNA from 1 species